rnacentral:tRNA from 1 species
UCCCUGGUCGUCCAGUGGUUAGGACUUUGCCUUCCAAUGCAGGGAGUACAGGUUCAAUCCCUGGUCAGGGAG